rnacentral:other from 1 species
GCGGGGCUGCCCGGUGCGCCUAGGCAAUUCAUCCCCAGGGCCAAUAAGCAUCCUCCGGGAGCUGGCUCUGUCUGGACCCUGGUCCAGGUACCUGGCGCCCACCUGCAUUAGCAGGCCUUGGGAGGGUGAGACGCCAGCGGCCUAUGGUGGCUCCGCA